GAUGAAGAACGUAGCGAAAUGCGAUAAGUAAUGUGAAUUGCAGAAUUCAGUGAAUCAUCGAAUCUUUGAACGCACAUUGCGCCCCCUGGUAUUCCGGGGGGCAUGCCUGUCCGAGCGUCAUUACAACCCUCAAGCUCAACUUGGUAUUGGGCCCCGCCGCUCCGGCGGGCCCUAAAGUCAGUGGCGGUGCCGUCCGGCUCCGAGCGUAGUAAUUCUUCUCGCUCUGGAGGUCCGGUCGUGUGCUCGCCAGCAACCCCCAAUUUUUUUCAGGUUGACCUCGGAUCAGGUAGGGAUACCCGCUGAACUUAAGCAUAUCAAUAAGCGGAGGA
rnacentral:misc_RNA from 1 species